rnacentral:rRNA from 1 species
AUUGAACGCUGGCGGCAGGCUUAACACAUGCAAGUCGAGCGGGGGAAGGUAGCUUGCUACUGGACCUAGCGGCGGACGGGUGAGUAAUGCUUAGGAAUCUGCCUAUUAGUGGGGGACAACAUCUCGAAAGGGAUGCUAAUACCGCAUACGUCCUACGGGAGAAAGCAGGGGAUCUUCGGACCUUGCGCUAAUAGAUGAGCCUAAGUCGGAUUAGCUAGUUGGUGGGGUAAAGGCCUACCAAGGCGACGAUCUGUAGCGGGUCUGAGAGGAUGAUCCGCCACACUGGGACUGAGACACGGCCCAGACUCCUACGGGAGGCAGCAGUGGGGAAUAUUGGACAAUGGGGGGAACCCUGAUCCAGCCAUGCCGCGUGUGUGAAGAAGGCCUUAUGGUUGUAAAGCACUUUAAGCGAGGAGGAGGCUACUCUAGUUAAUACCUAGGGAUAGUGGACGUUACUCGCAGAAUAAGCACCGGCUAACUCUGUGCCAGCCGCCGCCGCCGUAA